UGCAAUUUAGGUUUGAUAGAUCACAACCAUGACAAUGAUAUGAUUAUCGUGGAAUUGUAGGCCUGCAGAAUGGAAGUAGUUUUGAGUACUUGAUGAGCAAAAGUAGCAAGAAGAUUGGGAGUCAUGGCUAUGUGUAUAACUUGUAUUCUGCUAUAUCAAAGCUGUUUUGAGCACUUUCAAGAAAUAUGGCUAUGUAUAUAACUUGUGCAUUGUUACUUUUGUGUUUGAUUUUA